rnacentral:sRNA from 1 species
UUGUUUACUAUCCAUGGCAAGAUCUUUAUCCCUAUAUAUUACCCUUCUCGUAAUAUAUAGGGAUAGUAGAUCUUGCCAUGGAUAGAAAACAA